rnacentral:rRNA from 1 species
AUGGUUAAGCUACUAAGAGCACACGGAGGAUGCCUAGGCGCUAGGAGCCGAAGAAGGACGUGGCGAACAACGAAACUGCCUCGGGGAGCUGUAAGCAAGCAUCGAUCC